rnacentral:rRNA from 1 species
AUUGAACGCUGGCGGCAUGCCUAACACAUGCAAGUCGAACGGGGGCAGCAAUGCCCUAGUGGCGGACGGGUGAGGAAUACGUAGGAACCGGCCCACGAGUGGGGGACAACCUGGGGAAACCCAGGCUAAUACCGCAUACGCUCGCGAGAGGAAAGCGGGGGACCUUCGGGCCUCGCGCUGGUGGACGGGCCUACGUCCGAUUAGCUUGUUGGUGGGGUAAAAGCCUACCAAGGCGACGAUCGGUAGCUGGUCUGAGAGGAUGAUCAGCCACACUGGGACUGAGACACGGCCCAGACUCCUACGGGAGGCAGCAGUGGGGAAUAUUGGACAAUGGGCGCAAGCCUGAUCCAGCAAUGCCGCGUGGGUGAAGAAGGCCUGCGGGUUGUAAAGCCCUUUAAGCGGGAGGAAAGCCGGGGGGUGAAGUAGCGCCUCGGGGUGACGUUACCGCAGAAUAAGCACCGGCUAACUCCGUGCCAGCAGCCGCGGUAAU